AUUGAACGCUGGUGGCAGGCCUAACACAUGCAAGUCGAACGGUAACAGGAAGCAGCUUGCUGCUUUGCUGACGAGUGGCGGACGGGUGAGUAAUGUCUGGGAAACUGCCUGAUGGAGGGGGAUAACUACUGGAAACGGUAGCUAAUACCGCAUAACGUCGCAAGACCAAAGAGGGGGACCUUCGGGCCUCUUGCCAUCGGAUGUGCCCAGAUGGGAUUAGCUUGUUGGUGGGGUAACGGCUCACCAAGGCGACGAUCCCUAGCUGGUCUGAGAGGAUGACCAGCCACACUGGAACUGAGACACGGUCCAGACUCCUACGGGAGGCAGCAGUGGGGAAUAUUGCACAAUGGGCGCAAGCCUGAUGCAGCCAUGCCGCGUGUAUGAAGAAGGCCUUCGGGUUGUAAAGUACUUUCAGCGGGGAGGAAGGGAGUAAAGUUAAUACCUUUACUCAUUGACGUUACCCGCAGAAGAAGCACCGGCUAACUCCGUG
rnacentral:rRNA from 1 species